CCAGGUUGAUUCUGCCUGACGUAGACGCUAUUCCCUAAGAUUAACCCAUGCAUGUUAUUGAUUUUUGAAAAAUGGACUGCUCAGUAAUACUCACUUUAUUUUAUGUAUACUUAUUAUAACUACGUUAAAGUGUAGAUAAAAUGUAUACAGUAAGAGUGAGACCUAUCAGCUAGUUGUUAAGGUAAUGGCUUAACAAGGCAGUGACGGGUAACGGUAUUACUUUGUAAUAUUCCGGAGAAGGAGCCUGAGAGACGGCUACUAAGUCUAAGGAUUGCAGCAGGGGCGAAACUUGACCUAUGGAUUUUAUCUGAGGCAGUUAUGGGAAGUAAUAUUAUAUUGUUUCAUAUUUUAAAAGUAUAUGAGGUGAUUAAUUGGAGGGCAAAUCAAGUGCCAGCAGCCGCGGUAAUACUUGUUCCAAGAGUGUGUAUGAUGAUUGAUGCGGUUAAAAAGUCCGUAGUUUAUUUUUAAGAAGCAAUAUGAGGUGUACUGUAUAGUUGGGAGAGAGAUGAAAUGUGACGACCCUGACUGGACGAACA
rnacentral:rRNA from 1 species